GAUGAACGCUGGCGGCGUGCCUAAUACAUGCAAGUCGAGCGAACAGACGAGGAGCUUGCUCCUCUGACGUUAGCGGCGGACGGGUGAGUAACACGUGGAUAACCUACCUAUAAGACUGGGAUAACUUCGGGAAACCGGAGCUAAUACCGGAUAAUAUAUUUAACCGCAUGGUUCAAUAGUGAAAGACGGUUUUGCUGUCACUUAUAGAUGGAUCCGCGCCGCAUUAGCUAGUUGGUAAGGUAACGGCUUACCAAGGCAACGAUGCGUAGCCGACCUGAGAGGGUGAUAGGCCACACUGGAACUGAGACACGGUCCAGACUCCUAAGGGAGGCAGCAGUAGGGAAUCUGACGCAAUGGGCGAAAGCAUGACGGAACAACGCCGCGUGAGUGAUGAAGGUCUUCGGAUCGUAAAACUCUGUUAUUAGGGAAGAACAAAUGUGUAAGUAACUAUGCACGUCUUGACGGUACCUAAUCAGAAAGCAACGGCUAACUACGUG
rnacentral:rRNA from 1 species